rnacentral:rRNA from 1 species
AGUGAACGCUGGCGGUAGGCCUAACACAUGCAAGUCGAACGGCAGCACAGUAAGAGCUUGCUCUUACGGGUGGCGAGUGGCGGACGGGUGAGGAAUACAUCGGAAUCUACUUUUUCGUGGGGGAUAACGUAGGGAAACUUACGCUAAUACCGCAUACGACCUACGGGUGAAAGCAGGGGAUCUUCGGACCUUGCGCGAUUGAAUGAGCCGAUGUCGGAUUAGCUAGUUGGCGGGGUAAAGGCCCACCAAGGCGACGAUCCGUAGCUGGUCUGAGAGGAUGAGCAGCCACACUGGAACGUAGACACGGUCCAGACUCCUACGGGAGGCGGCAGUGGGGAAUAUUGGACAAUGGGCGCAAGCCUGAUCCAGCCAUACCGCGUGGGUGAAGAAGGCCUUCGGGUUGUAAAGCCCUUUUGUUGGGAAAGAAAAGCAGCAGGUUAAUACCCCGCUGUUCUGACGGUACCCAAAGAAUAAGCACCGGCUAACUUCGUG